rnacentral:sRNA from 1 species
CCUGCGGAGGGAUCAUUACCGAGUUUACAACUCCCAAACCCCUGUGAACAUACCUAUACGUUGCCUCGGCGGAUCAGCCCGCGCCCCGUAAAAAGGGACGGCCCGCCCGAGGACCCCUAAACUCUGUUUUUAGUGGAACUUCUGAGUAAAACAAACAAAUAAAUCAAAACUUUCAACAACGGAUCUCUUGGUUCUGGCAUCGAUGAAGAACGCAGCAAAAUGCGAUAAGUAAUGUGAAUUGCAGAAUUCAGUGAAUCAUCGAAUCUUUGAACGCACAUUGCGCCCGCCAGUAUUCUGGCGGGCAUGCCUGUUCGAGCGUCAUUUCAACCCUCAAGCUCAGCUUGGUGUUGGGACUCGCGGUAACCCGCGUUCCCCAAAUCGAUUGGCGGUCACGUCGAGCUUCCAUAGCGUAGUAAUCAUACACCUCGUUACUGGUAAUCGUCGCGGCCACGCCGUAAAACCCCAACUUCUGAAUGU